CACGUAGGCGGAUAGGCAAGUCAGGUGUGAAAGCCCGGGGCUUAACCUCGGAAUUGCAUUUGAUACUGUCUGUCUUGAGUAUGGUAGAGGGGAUGGAAUUCCCGGUGUAGAGGUGAAAUUCGUAGAUAUCGGGAGGAACACCAGAGGCGAAGGCGAUCCCCUGGGCCAUUACUGACGCUGAGGUGCGAAAGCGUGGGGAGCAAACA
rnacentral:rRNA from 1 species